GUUACCUGGAUUUUCUGAAUCUCAUGAUUUUUAAAAUGAAAAUAAUGCUGUUUGCCUUGUAGUGUUGCAAAGUUGAAAGGCAAAAUGUGUGUGAAGCGGUUGGUGAACCUGAGCAUCAGUGUGAACCGUUAUUAGUGAUACCCUCUGGUGUCUGCUGUUCUGGGGCAGCAUUUACCCCUGCUGGAGAGGAAGAAGGAAAGAUGACUAAAGCUGAAGACCUCUGCCUUUUUUUGAUGCUCCUCAGCAGCAGCUUUCACCAUGUUUUGUAGUUACACCUUGUAAACAGACAAGACUCCUUGUGCCCCAGAAAACUUUCUUGAGCCUUGAAGGACCAGCUUGCCAUGAAUCCUAAGCUUCUAUUUUCUCUUGCUGCCCAUCCAUAUGUAGUAAAGUCAUUUUCCUUAUCUUGCAUGGCUGUUCUGUCUCACUGGACU
rnacentral:lncRNA from 1 species